rnacentral:rRNA from 1 species
UCGAGAAUCUUUCGCAAUGGGCGCAAGCCUGACGAAGCGACGCCGCGUGUAGGAUGAAGGCCUUCGGGUUGUAAACUACUGUCUUUGGGGAGCAACGGCCGGGACGCUAAUACCGUACCGGAUUGAUAGUACUCAAGGAGGAAGCCACGGCUAACUCUGUGCCAGCAGCCGCGGUAAUACAGAGGUGGCGAGCGUUGUUCGGAUUUACUGGGCGUAAAGGGUGCGUAGGCGGUUCUGCGUGUCGGAUGUG